rnacentral:rRNA from 1 species
AACGAACGCUGGCGGCACGCUUAAUACAUGCAAGUCGAACGGUAACAGCUUUGAAGCAAUUCAAAGGCUGACGAGUGGCGCACGGGUGAGUAACACGUAGGUGACCUGUCCUAUAGUAAAGAAUAACAAUGAGAAAUUAUUGCUAAUACUUUAUAAGUCCAUGAUUUUUGAAUAUUUUAUGGAGAAAGAUUUAUCGCUAUUGGAGGGGCUUGCGGGGUAUUAGCUAGUUGGUGAGGUAAUGGCUCACCAAGGCUACGAUACCUAACCGGUCUGAGAGGAUGAUCGGUCACACUGGGACUGAGACACGGCCCAGACUCCUACGGGAGGCAGCAGUAGGGAAUAUUGCGCAAUGGAGGAAACUCUGACGCAGCGAUGCCGCGUGAGUGAGGAAGGUCUUCGGAUUGUAAAGCUCUGUCGUUAGGGAAAAAUUUUGAUGGUACCUAACAAGAAAGCACCGGCUAACUUCGUG